rnacentral:sRNA from 1 species
GCGCUGGCAAAAAACCAGCGCCGGGAUUAGCACCCUGAAAACUCUUCACGGCGGUACAUCAAGGCGCAUCGCGUCUUUUUU